GCCUUCAUGGUGUAGUGGUCAGCACGCUGGGCACGUAUUUUAGAGGUCUGUGGUUCGAAUCCCAGUGAAGGCA
rnacentral:tRNA from 1 species